UUUUCAGUGACCGGCUCAUAAACUUCUGUAGCGUCACUGCAGAGAGGGAAGCGGAGCGCUCAAAAAAUGGAGUUCACCCUGAGCGGCAACGCCUUGAAGACCUUGGCUCGCUCCAUCACCUGCCUCUCCCGCGUCGGCAACGACCUCGCCAUCCAAGCUUCUCCUUCCCAGAUUUCCUUUCACAUGCUCAAUUCGUCAAGAUCUGCCUAUCAAUUGAUAACCUUCAAGCCAGACCUCUUUGAUGUGUUUACGGUAUCUGGCGCACAGGUUCAAUGCAGCGUUCUUCUAAAGGCUGUCUGUUCUGUCCUUAGAACACCUAUUUCAAACAUUGAUUAUUUGAGCAUGCAAUUACCAGACCUCAAUGCAUCAAAAGUUCAAUGGGCUCUGCAGUGCUUCAGUGGCAUUAAGAAAACAUACUGGAUUACUUGCAAUGUUGGGCCCGACAUACAACAAUUAUCUCUGGAUAGGAGAAAAUACCCAAGCAAUUUUGUAGUGAGGCCUCGUGAUCUGAACAGAUUGCUUGUGAAUUUUCAGUCAUCCCUUCAGGAAAUUACUAUUAUCGCAACGGAACGCAACUCUGAUCCUUCUGAUGUUGCAAGUGAAUUUGGUGGGAAAACUGUCGAGUUUCGAAGCUACAUUGAUCCUACCAAAGGUAGAGAUUAACCUUUUUCUUUUCAAUCGAAUACGGAGAAGAAUAUCAUGGUUCAGAUUCUGGCCGCAGAGAACGACUCUUUGCAGCACACUCAGCUGUGGAUAGAUCGUGCGGAAGAGUUUGUGCAGUAUGCUUAUAAUGGCAACCCAGUAGACGUGACUUUUGCUUUCAAAGAGUUGAAGGCCUAUUUUGAUGGCCCCUAAAUUUGGCAUUGAUGAGGGGGACUCUUCCAAUUUUGAUGUUACACUUGUACUGGCCACCAUGCUCACAUCACAAUUACAUGAAGCUAAUACUGGGCCUUCAGCAAAUGAAUGCUGGGCCAGGCUGAUAAUGGGGAAGCUUCUGGAGAACAGCCAGAGAACGAUUGCUUCCGAGAUUCCAUCAAAUCAUACCAGAAUAUAGUCUGAACUCCCGGGUGAGUGA